GUGGAGCAUUAUGGAUGGGUCCUUCUAAAUUUGGCUGUAUCCAUAGUUAGUGCUCCAAAAUUGAUGAAUUGGCUUUCGAUGACUACACAGUAAGAGAGCUACUGUGUGGACAGAUACGGGUCAAACAUUU